GGGUGUAUAGUUCAGUUGUAGAGCAUUCGACUUCAGAUCGAGAGGUCCGUUGUUCAACUCCGCGUGCCCUCU
rfam:Angiostrongylus costaricensis strain Costa Rica genome assembly, scaffold: ACOC_scaffold0000814